ensembl:lncRNA
AAGAGUUUGACAUGACUGAGCAACUGAACAGAUAGUUGAAUCUACAACUACUAAACUUUAGUAUUUUAUUGAUAGUAUUUAUUGCCAGUUGCAGACAGUUCUCAGGUGCAAAGCAAAUUUGGAAAAACAGUUUCUAAGCACAAUUACCAACAGCAUUAGCAAUAAGUAGAUUUUAAAGUUUGUUCACUUCCACAAAGUCCAAAGUUCUAUGAGUUUCCAAGAGUGCUUAUCGGUGUGAAUAAACAAGGUGUGGUAAUACUCACAUGGGCAGUUUUUGAAAGAAAGAAAACUUCAUUGAAUUAGUUUGCACAAUAUUGGUUACUUAGAACAUUCUAUUACCUGUAUCUUCAACAUAAUAUUGUCUUCAAUGUUUUUAUAUGAUAAAUAUCUUAUGAAACUUAAAUAUUGCAUAUCAAAACUUGGACUUUUGGGGUCAAAUUUGCUCAAAGUAAUCUGUGAAGGUAGGCUAUUUUCCUGCCCGGUCUAUAACUGUCACCCUGCAGAUUACCAACACUUAGUCAGUUGGUCCUUGGAACUAAUGAUUGCCAUUAAGUGUGUGUUUAGUUAACAUGGCAAUGAUAUGUGUGAAAGUUCAAGUUUUAAAUUAAUUGAAAAUAUUCCCCAGUUUUAAACAUAUCUUGAGAUUUUUAAGGUGUGUGCAAGUAUUACUCUAUGAUUGGGAUGUUUAUUGAGUGCCUGCUAUGCCAUCUAACAUGCUUGGUUGCUUUUCCAAUAUUGUUUCAUUUAAUCCUCCCAGUGUGCAAUAAAGAAGAGUUUUACUGUUUCCACCUUGCAAAUCGGGAAAGUUAGGCUCAGAGAAGAUACAAGGCUUGUCUAAGUUCACACAGCCUGUAAGCAGUAGGGGAAGACAAGUGUUGGUUACCCUGGUUUUACUCUUCUGCCCUUGUGCCCUGUUUAAUGAUUUUCUCCUCAUGGUUGUGAGCCCCUCAAGAGCAGUCUUUCAGGUCUUUGGGGCCUUCAUGGUUCCUUAAUCCAAGUGAAUAUUAAUAAACAAAAAGUCAGACAUGACUGAGCAACUAACAUUUCACUUCAUGAUUAUACAGUAACCACUUGAGAAAAGUGUUUAAGAAUACAUCUGGAGACUUAAACUAUAUAAAGAAGAAGUGGGAAAAGUAAUGAUGUCAAAGAAUAGGAUCAAGAUUGAGAAAAAUUGAGGUUUAAAUUUGGAAAAUGACAAAUCAACCAGAAAGGUUUAUGCUGUUGGUCUUCACUCUAUAUUCUCGCUUUAUAAGAAGUAGACAAAUUAACAAACUGUGGAAGAAAAUUCCUAGAACACUGGGAUCAAGUCAAUACACCUGAUGGUUCUGGAAGACAGAAUUUUCAGAGAUAAAAAUACAAUAGAUCACUCCUUGAACUCCCGUCCUCAACCCAUGGGUGUAUCUGCCUGAGUUGCCUUGGCCACGGAGGAGUAUUUCUCUGAUGUGGCUUUAUCUGUGGUACCAGUGCAGCCUCAUCAGAGUUGAGAUGCUUGACUCAAACUGAUGUGUGCUUUGCCAAGUGUGAUGAUUAAUUUUAUGUGUCAACUUCACUGGCCAUGGGGUGCCCAGAUAUUUGGUUAAAGAUCAUUCUGGGUAUGUCUGUGAAGGUGUUUCUGGAUGGGAUUGGCAUUUGAAUUAGUGGACUGAGUAAACAGAUGGCCUUUCCAGUAUGAGGGGGCCUCAUCCUCCAUUGAAGGCUGAAUAGAACACAAAGGUGGAGGGAGUGGAGAGAACUUUCUCUCUCUUUGGUUGUCUUUGAGUUGGGACAUUGGUCUUCUGUCUUUGGACUUGGACUCAGUCUGAAACUAUACCAUGGUCUCUCCUGGUUGUCCAGCUUGCAGACUGCACACCUUCAGACAUCUUAACCUCUAUAAUUGCGUGAGCCGGUUAGUUACAAUAAAUCUCCACCUCUUUUUCUUUAUCUCUCUUUGGAUAAAUACAGCAAGUGAGAUGUUAAAUAGUAGCUAAUAAUAUUAUCUACCAUUUGUUGCUUGCCAUUAUCUAGCAGGGGCCAUACUAAACAUUUUACCCAAGUUAUCUCAUGUAAUCCUUACAGAACCAAAUAAAGGGACUAAGGUUCAGGGAGUUGUGAUUUUGCAGCUAGAAGUUAUGAACUCCAGAGCCAAACACUGUUCUCAGAGGUGUGAUGCAGGAUGGCCAGCAGUGUCAUGAAAGCGGAUCUGUGUUUAACAAGCUUUUGUGGCAAAAGUCUGUAAGCAUUUAGAGUUCCUGAAGACCUCAGUUCGAUCCCUGGAUUGAGAAGAUCCCCUGGAGGAGGGAAAGGCUACCCACUCCAGUAUUCUGGCCUGGAGAAUUUCAUGAACUGUAUAGUCCAUGGGGUCACAAAGAGUCGGACACGACUGAGCGACUUUCACUUUCAAAGUUCCUGGGGAGCUGUGCCCUAGAAAGAUGUAGAGAAAACUAUGAAGGUGACUGACAGACCCAAAAAUGGGGGCCUGGUCCAAGACCCCCUAGGAGCUCUUAAGCUGAAACUCAGUAUUUAAUGUUCAGAGUACAAAGCUCAAAAGUAAGCUGAGGUGGAGUCUUCAUUUUCAAGAAAGGACCAAACUGAGGAGAUGAAGCUAUUAGAAAACUUGCCUCACUGUUUCUAGCACCUGCUCCUCUGUGUCUGGACUUCCUGCCUCAGUUCCUCCCUGACCUGUUUGCUGUGCCCAGAGUCAUGCUUCCAAAGCAUCAAGGUUACCGUGGGCUCUUUGAGGGCAGGUUCUGGGGUUCUUAUGAGACUGCAAUCUGGGAGGAGCUCAGCAAAUAUCUGUGGAUUGUUCCAGGGAUCAGAGCAUGCUACGUGAGAAUUAGGGCCACCUUCAUUGUCUUCUCUUUUUCCCUUCACCAUGGAAUGUGUGGCGACAGGGUCUGCCGUCAUACUCUGCAGCCCCUUUCUCACCCCUACUGCAGAUGGACAGACCCAGCCUGGUAUGAAGGCACACUUAGCUUUCCUCAAUAUCAUAUUUCAUAAGGUUCUUUACUUUUUUCAAAAAAUGUCCAAUGGGAGAAUGGCUAAAAUGAAAAAGGUAUAUGGGCUUCCCCAAUGGCUCAGAGAGUAAAGAAUCUGCCUGCAAUGCAGGAGACACAGAUGUGGGUUCGAUCUCUGGGUUGGGAAGAUUCCCUGGAGGAGGAAAUGGCCACCCACUCUAGUGUUCUUGCCUGAAGAAUCCCAUGGACAAAGGAGCCUGGCAGACUACAGUCCAAAGAGUUCCAAAGACCUGGACAUGACUAAAAGACUGAGCAUGUGCACACACACACAUAUAAUAUCAAGGAUUGGUGAGGAUGUGGGACAACUGGAAUGAUCAUACUCUGCUGGUGGGAGUAUAAACUAGUACAACCACUUUGGAAAACAGAAAGUACCUAGUAAAGCUAAACACACAUAUACUCUGUACUCUAAGGCCUGACAGUUCAAUUCCUAGAUGUGUAGCCCAACAGAAGGGUGUAUACAAGUACUAGAAUCCUCAUGGCAGCACUGCUCACAGUAGCCUCAAACUGGAAACAGAGUGGCAGUCUCUAGUGGAAUGGCUGAGUACAUUGUGGUGUAUUUAUAAAAGGGGAUACUACACAGCCACGACAGGAACAAACUACAAUCACGUGCGACUGUAUGUGUGAAUCUCUCAUGUUAGACAAAAGCCAGGUGCAAGAGAAGCCACCCUCUACGAUCCCACUUCUGAGACAGUAAGGUGUUUAUAUUAAAAUACAAAAACAUUUUUUAAAGAUAAACUAGUCUGUGGCCUUAUAAAUCAGGAUCAUAGUUAUGUGGUGUGUGAG